GACAGAGGGUGCAACCGUUGUUCGGAAUUACUGGGCGUAAAGCGAGUGUAGGCGGUCUGCUAAGUCGGGUGUGAAAGCCCUGGGCUCAACCCAGGAAGUGCACUCGAAACUGGCAGGCUAGAGUACUGGAGAGGUUGGUGGAAUUCUCGGUGUAGAGGUGAAAUUCGUAGAUAUCGAGAGGAACACCGGUGGCGAAGGCGGCCAACUGGACAGAUACUGACGCUGAGACGCGAAAGCGUGGGGAGCGAACAGG
rnacentral:rRNA from 1 species